GCCCGGAGCGAGGCGCAGGGGAGGAGUCGGGCGACUCUUGCUUUGAUGAGGAGGCCCGAGACCACUUUGGCAGAGGUGUCGGGGUCCAGAGUGCAGCCUGAGGAUGCUGCCCACAGAGAGAAAGAGGCCCCGUGUCCAGCGCAAAAGAAGGGAGCUGGGCGCCCCCCGUCCCAACGCCCCGGAGCCCUCUCCCUGAGUCAGGAACCCCGCCCAGGGUGGAAGAACCCGGCCCCUCAUCGGAACCGCUGUGCCCCGAGGAGUCGAGGUGGCUCCGGGACAGCCCCACUGGCCUGGCCGGCGGCCUCCCCUAGGGACAACCUCGUGCCCGGUGCCCGGCCUGGCUGCCGUGGAGGCAGGGCCAGCAGGGGCCUUGUUUUGGGUGCUGGGGUGCUGGUUCCGGAAGGCCGAGGCCAGCGUGUUCAACUUAGUUUUCCUGUCCCGUUUUCCAGCUCUUAGACCCCUAAAGGCCACAUCCAGGAGCUCCCUCCAGGGGUUGGGGGCCUUCUCCUAGUGGUCGGUCGAGUUUGUGUCGGCUAUCGGGUGCCGACAGGCCAGCGACCGGGCGUGGCGAUGCAGGGCCCCGGCCGGGCGGUUACAGGCAGAGCCGUAUGUUUUUGGACCGCCUCGGUAAGGGAUGAAGACAGGACCGGGGUCCUGGGGAGCGUCGCUGGCUGUCACAGUUGACGUACGUGUCAGUGUUCUGCGUAGCGUCCGGGAGACAAGCCGGCAUACGCUUAAGGCUCCGUGAGCCCGAAUGCCCCGGCCCGGGCACUGCUGGGCUGCUGCGUUCCUGUCCUGGCCGUGGACCUGGCCGGCUGCCCAGCCAGUCCUGGACAAAUCAGAAACACGCCCUGGAGGCACAGGUGGGGAAGGAGCCAGCUUCUUCCUGCAGGUGGAUCUGGCUCCAAGUCCGAGCGCCGGCUGGGCCGACCUCCGCCUCGCAUCGCGGCCUCCACCUCCGGAUUUCCGGCCAGCAGGGCCCCGAGCAGCCAUGGACGGCCGAGACGGGGGAGGUGCACACAGCCGCGGGCGCCCACCUCCCUGCUCCUGGGCUCCGAGGGCACAGGACUCAGGCGCUGAGACAGGAGCGCCCAGUCCCUAGGAAGGGGCCGACCUGGGGACAGCAGCCUCUCAGGCACAGCGACCUCCACCCUGAAAACGCUGCCCCCUGCAGCCCCUGCUCCUUGGGCUCCUUCUCCUCCUGGUCUUCUUUGGCUACGGGUUCCUGAGCUCCAGACGCCCGAUGCCAGGAGGCCUGGGAGUCGGGCCUGGGUCCCAGGUUCUGUGCACGUGGGCCCGGCCUCUGCUCCCGGUGCCAACCCCGUCUCCUGUGCUCUCCUUCUGCAGCGUGGCUGUUGGGGACCCCGACGGCCGGCCCGUGGUGGCCUUGUCCAGGAUGCUGUACCCCCAGCCGAAGGCGCUGACUCCCUCACGGAGCGACGUCCUCGUGCUGACCCCCUGGCUGGCUCCCAUCGUGUGGGAGGGGACCUUCAGCCCCGAGAUCCUGGACGAGCAGUUCCGGCUGCAGAACGUGACCGUGGGACUGACCGUGUUUGCCGUUAAGAAGUACGUGGCUUUCCUGCGGCUGUUCCUGGAGACGGCGGAGCAGCACUUCAUGGUGGGCCACCGCGUCACCUACUACGUCUUCACCGACCGGCCGGCCGACGUGCCCCGCGUGCCGCUGCGGGAGGGCCGGCGGCUGGCGGUGCUGGCCGUGCGCAGCCACGCGCGCUGGCAGGACGUGUCCAUGCACCGCAUGGAGGUGAUCAGCCGCUUCUCGGAGCAGCGCUUCCGCCGCGAGGUGGACUACCUGGUGUGCGCCGACGUGGACAUGAAGUUCCGGGACCGCGUGGGCGUGGAGAUCCUCAGCCCGCUGUUUGGCACCCUGCACCCCGGCUUCUACAGAGCCGACCGCCGGGCCUUCACCUACGAGCGGCGGCCGCGCUCCCAGGCGUACAUCCCCCCGGACGAGGGCGACUUCUACUACAUGGGGGCCUUGUUCGGGGGCUCGGUGGCCGAGGUGCAGCGGCUGGCCAGCGCCUGUCACCAGGCCAUGGUGCUGGACAAGGCCAACGGCAUCGAGGCCGUGUGGCAUGACGAGAGCCACCUGAACAAGCCACGCCGCGACCCUCCCAACACCUCUGGUCGGCCAGUCGUGAACGAGACAUUGAGGUCACAGCACAAGAAGCAAGGAUUUCAGAAACACACACGGCGGAGCCGGGGCUGGUGCCGGGGCACCGCAGGCCGAGCUGCCGCCCGUGCCGCCAGCGUCCAUGCUGGGCGCCAGUCUGAGUCCCGGCUGCUCCGCUCCUGGCCCAGCUCCCUGCUGAUGCACCCGGGAAAGCAGCAAAGACGGCCCUGGGUCCCUGCACCCACGUGGGAGACGCAGAUGGAGCCCCAGGCUCCCGAGAGAGAGAGAGAGAGAGAGAGAGGUCUUUCAUCUGCUGGUUCACUCCCCAAAUGGCCACGAAGGCCAGAACUGAACUGAUCCAAAGCCAGGAGCCAGGAGCUUCUUCCGGGUCUCCCACGUGGGCGCAGGGGCCCAAGCACUUGGGCAUCGUCCACUGCUUUCCCAGGUGCAUUAGCAGGGAGCUGGACUGGAAGUGGAGCAGCCGGGCCUUGAACCGGUGCCACAGCGCCGGCCCCAGACGAGCUGAUCUCAAAUACUGGGGAAAGGAGAGACGGCUGUCUCCCCAGAGACGUUGUCCAUGUGGCCGAGAAGCACCCGGCGCCCGCUCCACGCGGGGACACGGCAGGGAGAGGCCCCGGCACGGCUCUGGCUGGACACAGGAAGGAGAGGCGGUGGCGAGGACGGAGGCCAUCGGAUGCCUCGUGUGCUGCGGGACGGGGACACCCAGAACACACUGACGGCAGUCUGGCGAUCCUUCAAACGCAGACAGCUGCCGCGGGCUCCAGCAGGUCCCCCGCCCGAGGCCCGUGUCCGGCAGACGUGGACUUGAGCGAGCAGCCUCGCUCACAGCGGCAAACGGUGGAGAAACCAGAACACGGUCUACACCAGUGAGCCGGCCACGCCGUCCAUUCACCUUCCAGAUGUGUCUGGGUCCCAGGGUGUCCAGCAGUGGGAAGAAUCUCACGGACCCCACCCCAGGGAAGUGGGGGAGACCUCUGUGGAGGAGGGGCCGCGGGAUGCCCACCCGGGAUGGGGGGCGGCUCCCACCCAGAGCAUGAAGGAGGCUCCCGCCCCCACGGUAGGACACUGGGUGUGGCUGGGGGUUGGCCAUGCCCCCGGCUCCCACAGUUGUGGGAUUCCCCCUAGACAGCGGAGGUCAGGAGAGCAGAUUGGGGAGGGAGGACUGGCCCCCCGGGGCAGUGGGGGAGGGGCCCGGGGCUCAGAGCUGCACCCGAGACUUGGUCCCCGGCCCAAGGCACCAGCAGCCGGCUCCCACCAGGGCCUCCCACCCGCCUGGCUGCACGUGGAGCUGGGUGUACUCUCUGCUGGGAGCCCAGACCCACAGGGGCCGUGAGCCCGUGGCUCUGCUGCCUGCCCACCCCUCCCAGGGCCCCCUGCUUCUGGGCACCUGACAGUCCUGCCCCGGGCGCCCGUCAGCCUGAGUCAGCCCACACGCCUGGCUGGGCCCUGGCGCUCCGUGCUCACCCGCCCCUGACCCAGCUGGGGGACCGGGAGCCCACGGAGGCUGAGGCCGAGCCUGAGGGUGAGGAGGGCCGGGCUGGGGGUGUGCGGUCCUCGGAGGGGCCCAGGGCUGGUGCUGGCAGACGGAGCCCGAGACAAUGCCCUUGUGGUCCUGGUCACGUGUGGGGACAGGUGCCAGGCUGGGGCGUGGCCUGGGCAGAGACCUGGGGGGCCCAGGGCAGGGGCUUCUCUGGAGGGGCCCCCACCAGUUUCAAUGCCGACCAAACCUGCUCCAGAGUGAGUGCCAUCCGCAGCGCCAGCGCCAGGGGCAGCCUGAGACCCGCCUGUUACCCUCCUCUGCACGCAGAGCCAGCUCGUUCUAGAACCUUCUCCAGCGCUUCGGCCCGCUACUGAGCACGCCGACUUCUGCACCAGCUCUCACGGUGCACGUGCAGUGCUGGCUCCAGCGCCAGCGCUCAGCCGAGAGCCAGGGUCCCCUCCGCCACCACGAGUCCGGCUGGCUCCGUGGCGGCUCCAGCACCAGCUCUGUGCCAGCUCGCUCCAAAGCCACUCGCAUGCAGCCAGCGGCAGCUUCAGAAGGAAACCCGGCGUCAGCACCGCCUCCGGCCGCACCCCGGCCACACCCAACUCUGGGAAAGCUCCAGGGGCAGAGUCCGGGUCAGAACCAGGACCAGCUGCAGCCCUGCAGCCGCACCAGUGCCGGCCGCUGCACCGGCUGAGCGAUGGAGCCGCGCAGCCCAGGACCCAAAGCAGCUGUGGCCCCGGCUGUGCACCCCCAGCACGGGCGCUGGAAGCGGGCGCCGCCCCGGCUCUCCCGCCGCGAAGCAGGGCCCUCACCUGCCCAGGGCCGGCUCCGGCAGGGUCGCCAGCACCAGUCCUGGCUACUAGGAGCUCGCACAGCAGCGCCAGGUCCAGAGGAGGAGCCAGCGCAGCCCACUCGGCAGCCAGAGGCAGGGCCAGCGCGGGCGUCUCUGCGGUCAGAGCCGGCGCAGGUGUAAAGCGCCAGAGCGAGCAGCCGUGGGCACCGGCUCCAGCCGGCUCUGCACCAGCGCCGGGGCCAGCCCCACGGCCAGAGCCAGAGCUAAGCCCCACUCUGGUUAUGGCCAGAAGCCAGGGCAGGCGCAGGGCCUUCUCAAGCUGCAGCCAGCCCGGUGCCAGUGCCAAAGCCGGCACCACGGCAGUGGUGGGCAGGGCCUCACCAGGAGGCGCUCCCCCAGGCUGGGGGGGGGGGGGACACAGAUGGGGGCUUCCUGUCUCUCUCUCUCCCCUUCCCCCCCCAUGCUCACUCGCUCGCUCUCCUUCUCCCUCUCCCCCUCGCUCUGUCUCUCUCUCUCCCUCUCUCUGCCUUUCAGAUCAUAAAGCACAUUUUUAUUUGACAGGCAGAGUUAGUGAGAAAGAGGGACAGAGAGAAAGGUCUUCCUUCCGUUGGUUCACCCCCCAAAUGGCCGCUACGGCCGGCGCACCGCGCUGAUCUGAUGGCAGGAGCCAGGUGCUUCUCCUGGUCUCCCAUGGGGUGCAGGGCCCAAGCACUGGGGCCAUCCUCCACUGCACUCCGGGGCCACAGCAGAGAGCUGGCCUGGAAGAGGGGCAACUGGGAAAGAAUCCGGCGCCCCGACCAGGACUAGAACCUGGGGUGCCGGCGCCGCAGGUGGAGGAUUAGCCUAGUAAGCCACAGCGCCGGCCAUAAAGCACAUUUUUUUUUUUUUUUUUUUUUGACAGGCAGAGUGGAUAGUGAGAGAGACAGAGAGAAAGGUCUUCCUUUUGCCGUUGGUUCACCCUCCAAUGGCCGCCGCUGCAGCCGGCGCACCGCGCUGAUCUGAUGGCAGGAGCCAGGAUCCAGGUGCUUUUCCUGGUCUCCCAUGGGGUGCAGGGCCCAAGCACCUGGGCCAUCCUCCACUGCACUCCCUGGCCACAGCAGAGAGCUGGCCUGGAAGAGGGGCAACCGGGACAGAAUCCGGCGCCCCGACCGGGACUAGAACCCGGUGUGCCGGCGCCACAAGGUGGAGGAUUAGCCUAUUGAGCCACGGCGCCGGCCCAUAAAGCACAUUUUUUAAGAUGCAUUUUAUUUUAUAGGCAGAGUUGCAGAGAGAGGGAAAGACAGAAUCUUGCGUCAUCUCGUUCCCUCCCCACAGGGCUACACUGGCCAGAGCUGGGCCAGCCAGGAGCCAGGAGCCAGGCGCUUCCUCCAGGUCUCCCACGCGGGUGCAGGGGCCCAAGCAGCUUUCCCAGGCCAUCAGCAGGGAGCUGGACCGGAAGUGGGGCAGCCAGGGCUUGGACUGACGCCCUAUGGGACGCCGGCACCAAGCACAGAUUUUUUUUUUUGAGGCCCUGAGACACGCCCAGCACUCACAGUUGGAGUCCCUGGGGUCUUGGGCUGGGGGAGGGGUUUCUGUUUCUGCAAAGCCCCUGCCCCUCUAUCACCGGCUCCAGGGAGAGGCCUCCCACCUUGGUCGUCCCUGGGGCAGGGCAGGGGUCCCUCUGCAACAGACUCGCCAUUCCCCGGGUCAGAACUGGGGUCCAGGUUCAAAUCUCAGCUCGGCGGAGACAAACCCCAGCGGUGGGCAGAGCAGACGGGACACCCCCACCCCACCUGGCUGCCAGGAGAGGGGCCACGGCCUCUGCGGGGACCGACCCACGAGGGCGGGCGCGCUGAGAGCCCCCGCGGGGGAACCAGACUCUGGCUCGGGGUCGCGCGCAGCCCGGGGUCGGUGGGGGCAGAGCCAGCGCGGCCCGGAUCGCCCCGCGUGCCUCGCCGGAGCUCAGCGCUAGAGGGCGCUGCGGCGGCGGCGGGCGCGGGGCGGCGUCUCUUGGCCCUCGUGGGCCGCCGUACGCGCUAUAAAGGCUGCGCCGCGGCGCCGUUCCGUCCUUUCCGGCGGCCAUGGCGGCGGGCAGGGGACGCGGCUGCGGGCUGGCCCCGGCCGCCUGGCCUCCCGCCUGGCCCGCUGGGCUCGGGGCUGCCGCGGCGCGCCCCGGGAGGGCGCGGAAGUCGGGAAGGCGGCGUGGGACGCUCCCGACGUGAAGGCGGGGCGGCCGGCUCGCUGCGGAGUGCGUGAUGGGCCCCCGCGCCGGGGCCGUGAGGACGAGCGUGGCCUGCCGCCGGCUCCAGGUGCGGCCGGAGGACGGCGAGCGACGCCGGAGCCUGGACACGGGGUUGGACGGAGCCGAUGGACUCGGCGGAACGCAAUAAAGGCGCCUGGUGGCA